UACCUGGUUGAUCCUGCCAGUAGUCAUAUGCUUAGCUCAAAGAUUAAGCCAUGCAUGUGCAAGUAUGAACCAAUUUGAACUGUGAAACUGCGAAUGGCUCAUUAAAUCAGUUAUAGUUUGUUUGAUGGUACGUGCUACUCGGAUAACGUAGUAAUUCCUAGAGGCUAAUACGUGC
rfam:Hordeum vulgare subsp. vulgare, WGS project CAJW01000000 data, contig: morex_contig_1449763